rnacentral:lncRNA from 1 species
GCCAAUACUUGAAAUGCAGAGUGGAGCCUCUGAACUUUACUGGUCUCUAAAGCCAUACUGUCAAUGGACAGAAAAGGCAGAGCAGCUCCUGCCCUGUGGCUCAAAAUGUCAGUCACGUCAGAGAAGGCAGUUAUUUCUGAUAGGUGUCCACAUGGGUUUGGCUCCCUUGAGGAGGCCUGUCCUGAGGAGCAGGCCCUGGAUGUCCUACCUGGAGAGAGACAGGACUGGAGGUAAUUGUAUCCUGUUACCUUCCAUACAAGGAACAUUGCAAUUUCCCAGACCCGCUGUAAUUUCCCAGCUGGAGCAGGGUCAGGAAUCCUAUGUUCUCGAUCUGCAUGGAGCUGACUUAAGAGAGGCCUGUACAAGCUCCUGGGCAGUGUCAAGUGUUAAGACCCAGGUUAGGAGUGGGGAAUCAAUGGAAAAGAAUGUUUUGAAAAUGAGGAGUCACACUGAGUCAUCUUGA